GUGCUUCUACAAAAAUGUUUUUGCCAGACACUAGGAUGCAAAAGAAAGUAAUUCCUGCACUUUCUGUCUGUCUCCAUAGCAGCCCAGAUUGAAUUGGGGAAUACAAUG
rnacentral:snoRNA from 1 species